rnacentral:rRNA from 1 species
UACGGAAGGGGCUAGCGUUGUUCGGGAUUACUGGGCGUAAAGAGCGCGUAGGCGGCUUACCAAGUUGGGGGUGAAAUCCCGGAGCUCAACUCCGGAACUGCCUUCAAAACUGGUAGGCUCGAGUCCGGAAGAGGGGCGUGGAAUUCCCAGUGUAGAGGUGAAAUUCGUAGAUAUUGGGAAGAACACCGGUGGCGAAGGCGGCGCCCUAUGCUGGUACUGACGCUGAGGCGCGAAAGCGUGAGGAGCAAACACG